AGACAUCAUGGCUCAGUAGUAGAAUAUUUGCUUUGCAUGCACAAGAGCCCAGUUUCAAUUCCUGGUAUGUCUG
rnacentral:tRNA from 1 species